GACGAACGCUGGCGGCAGGCCUAACACAUGCAAGUCGAGCGAGCGGCGGACGGGUGAGUAAUGUAUGGGGACUGCCCGAUAGAGGGGGAUAACUACUGGAAACGGUGGCUAAUACCGCAUACUAUCGGAUAACCCAUAUGGGAUUAGCUAGUAGGUGGGGUAAAGGCUCACCUAGGCGACGAUACCUAUCUGGUCUGAGAGGAGGAUAUGCCACACUGUGACUGAGACACGGCCCAGACUCCGACGGAGGCAGCAGUGGGGAAUAUUGCACAAUGGGCGCAAGCCUGAUGCAGCCAUGCCGCGUGUAUGAAGAAGGCCUUAGGGUUUUAAAGUACUUUCAGCGGGGAGGCGUUACCCGCAGAAGAAGCACCGGCUAACUCCGUGUCAGCAGCCGCGGUAAUUC
rnacentral:rRNA from 1 species